rfam:Camelus ferus unplaced genomic scaffold scaffold770, whole genome shotgun sequence.
GAGGGUAUAGCUCAGUGGUAAAGUGCACGCUUAGCAUGUACAAGGUCCCGGGUUCAAUUCCCAGUACCUCCA